rnacentral:rRNA from 1 species
CCAGACUCCUACGGGAGGCAGCAGUGGGGAAUAUUGCACAAUGGGGGAAACCCUGAUGCAGCGACGCCGCGUGAGCGAUGAAGUAUUUCGGUAUGUAAAGCUCUAUCAGCAGGGAAGAAGAUGACGGUACCUGACUAAGAAGCCCCGGCUAACUACGUGCCAGCAGCCGCGGUAAUACGUAUGGGGCAAGCGUUAUCCGGAUUUACUGGGUGUAAAGGGAGCGUAGACGGCGAUGCAAGUCUGAAGUGAAAGGCGGGGGCCCAACCCCCGGACUGCUUUGGAAACUGUAUAGCUGGAGUGCAGGAGAGGUAAGUGGAAUUCCUAGUGUAGCGGUGAAAUGCGUAGAUAUUAGGAGGAACACCAGUGGCGAAGGCGGCCUGCUGGACGACAACUGACGGUGAGGCGCGAAAGCGUGGGGAGCAAACAGGAUUAGAUACCCGAGUAC